CGUGUAGCAGAGUGAGGUAUAGACCCAGUAUGAUUGGCUGGCGUUACCAAAACAGGUGAACCUAUCAGUGUUUGUACUUUAUCAUGAUUGGUCAGUUGGGUAAGUUUCAUGAGCCAAUUAGUGCCUGUGUUGUGCAUAUAAAAGGGGGAAGUGUUUGGUUGCUUGGGAUGCAUCAUCCUUGGUACCGCCCCUUUGUGACAUGUGGCACUGUGAAUGAGUGCCAGCAGUUGGGUUAUCCUCCUGUCUGUCGUGUGCUGGCUGUUGGCCAGUUUUCAGGUUUGUCCCUGUUUUAAAAAUGCCUUUUUGCCUGUUAAAUACAGAGGCUUACUACCUUGUUUGUUUUUAGAUAUGGGCCGGCAAGUAGCUGUAAUUCUGCGUGGUGAGCGACCAUGUGUAUUGCAGCAUUGUACUGUUUUCUUGUCUUUGCAGCAAAUCAG